AACGAACGCUGGCGGCAUGCCUAACACAUGCAAGUCGAACGAGACCUUCGGGUCUAGUGGCGCACGGGUGCGUAACGCGUGGGAACCUGCCCUUAGGUUCGGAAUAACUCCCCGAAAGGGGUGCUAAUACCGGAUAAUGUCUUCGGACCAAAGAGUUAUCGCCUUUGGAUGGGCCCGCGUUGGAUUAGCUAGUUGGUAGGGUAAAAGCCUACCAAGGCGACGAUCCAUAGCUGGUCUGAGAGGAUGAUCAGCCACACUGGGACUGAGACACGGCCCAGACUCCUACGGGAGGCAGCAGUGGGGAAUAGUGGACAAUGGGCGAAAGCCUGAUCCAGCAAUGCCGCGUGAGUGAUGAAGGCCUUAGGGUUGUAAAGCUCUUUUACCCGGGAUGAUAAUGACAGUACCGGGAGAAUAAGCUACGGCUAACUCCGGG
rnacentral:rRNA from 1 species